GGAGAAAAGCAGGGGAUCGAAAGACCUUGCGCUUAAGGAGCGGCUGAUGUCGGAUUAGCUAGUUGGCGGGGUAAAAGCCCACCAAGGCGACGAUCCGUAGCUGGUUUGAGAGAACGACCAGCCACACUGGGACUGAGACACGGCCCAGACUCCUACGGGAGGCAGCAGUGGGGAAUUUUGGACAAUGGGGGAAACCCUGAUCCAGCCAUGCCGCGUGUGUGAAGAAGGCCUUCGGGUUGUAAAGCACUUUCGGACGGAACGAAAUCGCAAGGGUGAAUAUCCCUUGUGGAUGACGGUACCGUAAGAAGAAGCACCGGCUAACUACGUGCCAGCAGCCGCGGUAAUACGUAGGGUGCGAGCGUUAAUCGGAAUUACUGGGCGUAAAGCGUGCGCAGGCGGCUUCGCAAGUCAGACGUGAAAUCCCCGGGCUUAACCUGGGAAUGGCGUUUGAAACUACAAAGCUAGAAGC
rnacentral:rRNA from 1 species